rnacentral:rRNA from 1 species
GACGAACGCUGGCGGCGUGCUUAACACAUGCAAGUCGAACGGAGCACCCUUGACUGAGGUUUCGGCCAAAUGAUUGGAAUGCUUAGUGGCGGACUGGUGAGUAACGCGUGAGGAACCUGCCUUUCAGAGGGGGACAACAGUUGGAAACGACUGCUAAUACCGCAUGACGCAUUUUGAUCGCAUGGUCGAGAUGCCAAAGAUUUAUCGCUGAAAGAUGGCCUCGCGUCUGAUUAGCUAGUUGGUGAGGUAACGGCCCACCAAGGCGACGAUCAGUAGCCGGACUGAGAGGUUGACCGGCCACAUUGGGACUGAGAUACGGCCCAGACUCCUACGGGAGGCAGCAGUGGGGAAUAUUGGGCAAUGGGCGCAAGCCUGACCCAGCAACGCCGCGUGAAGGAAGAAGGCUUUCGGGUUGUAAACUUCUUUUAAGUGGGAAGAGCAGAAGACGGUACCACUUGAAUAAGCCACGGCUAACUACGUGCCAGCCGCCGCAGUAA